UUGACCUCAAAUCAGGUAGGACCACCCGCUGAACUUAAGCAUAUCAAUAAGCGGAGGAAAAGAAACUAACAAGGAUUCCCCUAGUAACUGCGAGUGAAGCGGGAAAAGCUCAAAUUUAAAAUCUGGGCGGUCUUGCGGCCGUCCGAGUUGUAAUCUGGGAGAAGCGUUUAUCCGCGUCGGAACCGUGUACAAGUUCUUCUGGAAGGGAGCGUCCUAAAGGGUGAAGAAUCC
rnacentral:rRNA from 1 species